rnacentral:rRNA from 1 species
AGGCAGCAGUAAGGAAUAUUGGUCAAUGGGCGCAAGCCUGAACCAGCCAUGCCGCGUACAGGAAGACGGCCCUACGGGUUGUAAACUGCUUUUGUACCGGAAUAAACCUUUUCACGUGUGAGAAGCUGAAUGUACGGUAAGAAUAAGGAUCGGCUAACUCCGUGCCAGCAGCCGCGGUAAUACGGAGGAUCCAAGCGUUAUCCGGAUUUAUUGGGUUUAAAGGGUGCGUAGGCGGUUCUUUAAGUCAGGGGUGAAAGACGGUAGCUUAACUAUCGCAGUGCCUUUGAUACUGAAGAACUUGAAUACACUUGAGGUAGGCGGAAUGUGACAAGUAGCGGUGAAAUGCAUAGAUAUGUCACAGAACACCAAUUGCGAAGGCAGCUUACUAAAGUGUCAUUGACGCUGAGGCACGAAAGCGUGGGAUCAAACAGGAUUAGAUACCCUGGUAGUCCACGCCCUAAACGAUGAAUACUCGAUGUUGGCGAUAUACGGUCAGCGUCUAAGCGAAAGCGUUAAGUAUUCCACCUGGGGAGUACGCCCGCAAGGGUGAAACUCAAAGGAAUUGACGGGGGCCCGCACAAGCGGAGGAGCAUGUGGUUUAAUUCGAUGAUACGCGAGGAACCUUACCCGGGCUUGAAAGUUAGUGAAUGAGACAGAGACGUCUCAGUCCUUCGGGACACGAAACUAGGUGCUGCAUGGCUGUCGUCAGCUCGUGCCGUGAGGUGUUGGGUUAAGUCCCGCAACGAGCGCAACCCCUGUGAAUAGUUGCCAGCACGUAAUGGUGGGGACUCUAUUCAGACUGCCUAUGCAAAU